CAACGGGAACAAACCCCGGGAAACAACGGGGGACAAACACCGGGGAGCACCGGGAUUCCCGGGAAAUACCGGGGAACAAACACCGGGAAGGAAGGAGAACAAACACCGGGAAGGAAGGAGAACAAACACCGGGAAGGAAGGAGAACAAACACCGGGAAGGAAGGAGAACAAACACCGGGAAGGCUCCGGCAGAGAGCAGCGAGCCCUCGGGGAAAUGAUGGCUUGUUUGGGAGUGAACAGCAGCCUGAAAUUUGUGGGAUUCCAAAUGCGCCCAUUCCCAGCCAGGACUCCGUGACAGAGUUGGAUCAAUUGUUAAUAGCGAGGAGGACGCCGUGAUGCUGAUGCUGAGGGAGAUGCAGCGAUGAACUCUGCUCCAGGAUUUAGCUCUGCCCGCAGCCGAGCGCCGGGGAUGCUGCGGAAAGGUUGCCAGAGAGGCGGAUACCAGCCUGCAUCCAGGUUUUUGCUGCAUCCCCGCUGCCAGACGAGAUAUGGAUCAUCCCUGGGAUUAUUCCUGCCGUGUCCCUGCGCAGGGAGGGGAUGCUGGAGGUGCUGCCGUGCCGGGGAGGUGCCGGUGGGUGCCGGACCCUGCGGCGCUGUGGAUUUUUCAGUUCUGGAGCCGACGCUCCCCUCACGGUGAGGUCUCUGUGGCGCAAUGGACGAGCGCGCUGGACUUCUAAUCCAGAGGUUCCGGGUUCGAGUCCCGGCAGAGAUGAUC